rnacentral:rRNA from 1 species
GGCGGCAUGCCUAACACAUGCAAGUCGAACGAAGGCCCUAGCUUGCUAGGUGUCCUUAGUGGCGAACGGGUGAGUAACGCGUGGGAAUCUGCCAUAGAGUGGGGAACAACUUUUGGAAACGAAAGCUAAUACCGCAUACGCCCUCCGGGGGAAAGGCUUCGGCCGCUCUUUGAUGAUCCCGCGUCUGAUUAGCUUGUUGGUAGGGUAACGGCUUACCAAGGCGACGAUCAGUAGCUGGUCUGAGAGGAUGAUCAGCCACACUGGGACUGAGACACGGCCCAGACUCCUACGGGAGGCAGCAGUGGGGAAUAUUGGACAAUGGGGGAAACCCUGAUCCAGCAAUGCCGCGUGAGUGAAGAAGGCCUUAGGGUUGUAAAACUCUUUCGCCGGUGAAGAUGAUGACUGUAGCCGGUAAAGAAGCCCCGGCUAACUCCGUGCCAGCAGCCGCGGUAAUACGGAGGGGGCUAGCGUUGCUCGGAUUUACUGGGCGUAAAGCGCACGUAGGCGGCAUAUUAAGUUAGAGGUGAAAGGCCUGGGCUCAACCUAGGAACUGCCUUUAAUACUGGUAUGCUUGAGUUCGGAAGAGGGUAGUGGAAUUCCAAGUGUAGAGGUGAAAUUCGUAGAUAUUUGGAAGAACACCGGUGGCGAAGGCGGCUACCUGGUCCGAUACUGACGCUGAGGUGCGAAAGCGUGGGGAGCGAACAGGAUUAGAUACCCUGGUAGUCCACGCCGUAAACGAUGAGUGCUAGUUGUCGGGAUGCAUGCAUUUCGGUGACGUAGUU